AAAAAAAAUGCAAAAGUGCCAUCCUAUCAAGAUAUCUUAUGAGUAUGAAUUGUUAAUAAAAGGUAUUUGAAUAUCCAUCAAGAUAUCUUAUGAGAGUUUUUCAAUCUAUUUUCAGUUUCUAAUUGUCAAUAAAGCUAACAACUUUCACUGAUUCUGCAGGAGCCUUAAUAUUUGACCCUUAAGUACUAUAAUAUUUAUCAUAAUGUCAAUUGUUAAUCUAGUGUCCUGCACUGGUUUGUGCACCAAAAAACAAAUGCAUGGUCAUUGAUGAGCAUUAGGCAAUUAUGAAGAUGUUGCAUUCAACUUCUAGUCACCACAUGGUUUGAAGUUCCUAAAACAAAAUCUGCUCCCUUUUUUCCGCAGGUGUGGGCAUGAGUUCUGUUAUU
rnacentral:misc_RNA from 1 species